AGAGUCUCUCCCAAACUACCUCUUGGGAACCACGUGUAGCAGGUAUUUUUGAUAGUCCAAACAAAAACAACCCACUCCAACCUUCGUUUACUUCUUUAAAAGAUAUAUUGCAGUUUGAAACUAGAAAAAGUAUGUUGUAAAUGUAUUGUGAUUGUGAUUUGGGUUGCGAAAAUUAAUUAGCUACUAAUAGUAAUACCAUAGGCUUGUGAUUCACGUGAAAAAGUAGGACCAUUAAACUUAAUUCAUUUCAACUGCCACAAUUUCUAUUCACUGGGAAAAUACAAAUUUGGUUGCUUUUAUUAGUCGCUAUGCAAGAAAUGGAGAAUGUCGGUUGAUUAAUCAAAAUAUAUUUUUUGUAAUAGGAAGGAGGCUCUCUGGAAACGUUGAGGAAGUUACCGAAGCAUCGAAAUACACAAGCCAAACAUCAUGAUGUGUCCAUUUAAGCCCCCUUUGCUCACUAUCUUUGGUGUAAAGUUCCAUUACCACUCCCCACUCCUAUUUGCCCAAAACAUCACAUGAACGCAAAUCAAGAACACAAUAAAUUGGUUGUUGAAAAU
rnacentral:lncRNA from 1 species